rfam:Nicotiana sylvestris Nsyl_contig126849, whole genome shotgun sequence.
UGGACCGAUUAUUGUAUUCGACUGUAUUCACGGCGUGAAACAGGGGAUUACACUGUUUUUAAACGGAAAGUGAAUCAAUUAACAUAAUAGACUCCU